rnacentral:rRNA from 1 species
GUUAUACUCCAUAGUUCGUUAUUACUGGAAUGUUUUUCGAACGAAAGAUCCGUCGCUUCAGGAUGAGUCUGCGGCCGAUUAGGUAGUUGUUGGGGUAAUUGCCCAACAAGCCUGUAAUCGGUACGGGUUGUGGGAGCAAGAGCCCGGAGAUGGAUUCUGAGACACGAAUCCAGGCCCUACGGGGUGCAGCAGGCGCGAAAACUUUACCAUGCGGGCAACCGUGAUAAGGAAACCCCGAGUGCCAGCACAGGCUGGCUGUCCGCCAGUUUAAACAACUGGCGAAGAAAGGGCCGGGCAAGACCGGUGCCAGCCGCCGCGGUAAUACCGGCGGCUCGAGUGGUGGCCGCUAUUACUGGGCUUAAAGGGUCCGUAGCUUGAUAAUAGGGUCCCUUGAGAAAUCCGCCGGCUUAACUGGCGGGCGUUCAGGGGAAACUUGUUUUCUAGGGACCGGGAGAGGUGAGGGGUACUGCCGGGGUAGGAGUGAAAUCCUGUAAUCCCGGUGGGACCACCUAUGGCGAAGGCAUCUCACCAGAACGGGUCCGACAGUGAGGGACGAAAGCUGGGGGAGCAAACCGGAUUAAAUACCCGGGUAAUCCCAGCUGUAAACUAUGUGCGUUAGGUGU